AAUUCUCAACCUUUUACGAUUCUUCUUGAUCGGAGAAGGCUUGGACUUUGGAGGCUUCUGCUGGCCUCUCUUGAAGCCAGCUCCUCUUAAAUGCAUUAGCGGGGGUUCCCUUUUGCCAGUCCUCGACGUGAUAGGGCUUCUUUCUACGUCUGGGGAUUUGGCUUGAGACCCGCUUCUAAUGGUCUCGUUGAGACGCUGUGAAAAACC
rnacentral:misc_RNA from 1 species